rnacentral:lncRNA from 1 species
GGGCUAACUUGCUUGCCAGAACAUCCAUUCCACAACUUCACGCAAUAUCAUGGAUAAAAGGGUACACAAGUCGACAUACUAAUCACUAUAUUACCAAAACUUGAAAAACUUCUAAACAUCAAUCAAAGUUACAUCACAAUACACACUUUUAAGGACUUUCAUGGUGUAACGGGGCUAAGGUUACAGGUGGGAUUAUUUGGGAAGUAGGCUUAAAAUAACAAAUUGGAGUUAAGCAUUUCCUACUUACUUCGGCAACUGGAAUACCACAACCUGGAAUGAUUUGCUCAAAUUUGAGAACUAGAGUACACAUCAGAAGUUCUGGAUCACUCAAUUAACAAGUCUUUGUCUCAAUUCAUUUCAUAACUGUAUACACACACAUUUUUUUUUGAGUUGAUUGAUUUUUUUUUUUUUGUAUCAACUUGAUUGAAAUUUUUUUAUUUUUUUUCAAUUGAGAUAAUGUGAUCUAUUUACUCAUGUUCUCUAUAUCCCUCACCCCAAACUUAGACUUUUGCAAACACAUAACAAUGCCUAACUCCAACAAAACUUGGGUUAAUAAUCUUAAGGUCUAUAGGCUUGUAAUAUGGUUUGUCACCGAAACAACGGGGUCUAACCUAUUGGCUCAAAGUUGGCUUAAAAAUGGAAAUAUUCAAUGUAACAGGUAGGCUUCGAAAGCUCAAGGUACAAGCACUUUGCCUUAGUGUGUAAGCAAUGUAACCAAUUGACAUAAAGAAAAUUUGCAAGUCCCAGAAAUAGUAUCAACAUGGAACACUCAUAUUUGUGAAAAUUGUAAAACAAAGAUUUGGCUUUAGAACUUACUAGCUGAGGUUUAUGGAAGUUGUGGUUACCUAAACAUUCACACUAUCGUACACUUCACCAACGGAACCUCAUGCAAGCUCUACCUCCUUGAACUUUUGAUACACCAUUGAUGAAAAAAAUGCUACCUGACUGGUAAAACUCAAGACAAAGCAAAUUCAUUAAUAAUAAACAAGUGCAGAUGCAAUUACAAAACAUGGGGGAAUACAUAAUUCAUAACACUAGCAGCAGUCACACACAUAUUUUAUUUUACUUUUGAAAAGAAAUACCAGCCAAAUAAAUGAAAUUAGAAAAUAUAAUGGGUUGCCUCCCAUCAAGCGCUUUCUUUUACGUCAUUAAGCUUAACGCCUCAAACAUUGUUAGGGUGGCAGAUAUGAAAGAAAGAAUAUGUCAUCUUUCUUAUUCCUCUUCUUUGGUAGGAAUUCCAUGAACUUCAUACAAAGUAGCAGAUGCUCCCAUGAUCCAACUGCUAAACUUUUGACAUUUGAGUUAUCCCUCCAUAAAGAAGAAUAGAUAUACCUUUGCAAAGGAAUGGUUUCUUUCAACCCUGUUGGUUGAGACUUCAAAUAGAGACGAACACUCCUCACUUGUGCAUUUUCUUCCACCACAACAUGACACUCAGUCUCCAUCUCAACCAGCUGCUUCUCACACUCAUUCGCUUUCCGAACAAGAUCACCACACUGAACUUCAAAUUUCUCAAAUGGAACUUGAUUUAAUAUCAAGAAAUCAUCUAAAAUAUUUUGAAGUUGAGUAUUGUAAUCGAUGUUGAUAAGCUCUUUCAGCCCUUCACAAUCUGUACCCUGAUGAUUCGCCUCGUGAAGAUCACAUCUCGCAUUUAAUCUUGAGAUUUGAUUGUCCCAUUGUUUUAUCUUCCAAGAAAGCAGAUAAUUUUCAUACUCCAACGUAACAAUCUCCUCUGUGUCAUAAAGGUGUAACCUGUCUACUAACCUGUUUAUCAUAGCUGCAAAACUUGGAUAAACUUUUUAGCAGCAAAGUACAAUGAGAUAAACAUGAAGAGCAUAAAUAAUAUAUUUUUUUUUAAUUUUUUUAAAAUAUAGACAAAUAAAUUAAAUGACAGAAAUCCUAAACAAUAACGAAAUUUCCAAGCUGAAAUGAUUCAACAGUCCCCGGCAGCGGCGCCAAAAACUUGAUAGAUAAUUAGCAAGUGUACUAACUUAUAUCGAAGUAAUAAAAUUUAUAAGAUUCGUUUCCACAGGGACUGUUUCAACUUCUACUCGGUAGUAACGUUAUUAUUAAGGAUGUUUGUAAAAUGGGGGGUGCACUGAGGCAAUUGGUUUAAUUUGCAAGUUAAAAUAAAAUGGUUAAGGAAAAAUUGGUUUAAGAAAUAAUAUGGAGUGAUGACUAGGUCAUUCGAUUCAUCUGCUCAUCGCUCAUUAGCAACCUGUUUCUUACGUUUACGAACGCUAUAAAGUUUACGACAAAUUAACAAAAUAGCUUAGGUCAAUCCCUUGAUCCUAAGCCCUCUUUUCUGAUUAUAAUUCCCUAAUCCCUUAGGUGAACCUAUAGUCAUCAAAGGUUUUAAGUCCGUUAAUUCAAGUAUCACAACCUAACAACGCUCCAUCCCUAGAUUGUCCGUUAGAUUGAACAGUAUAAAUAUGUCAGAGUUAAACGCUAGUGUCAGUAGUCAUAUAUACUCUAAAAUCAAUUAUAUUGGGUCAGAAUCAUAAAAGCUUUAAGAACAAUUUAUACUGAAUAAACUAGAAUGGCAUUCAUAAAGAUUAAGAGUUGCAGGUUACAUAAACAUGAGCUAGAACAAAAUCAUCUCUUGACCUAAUCACAAAG